rnacentral:rRNA from 1 species
UCCUGGAUUCAGCGGCGGACGGGUGAGUAAUGCCUAGGAAUCUGCCUGGUAGUGGGGGAUAACGUCCGGAAACGGGCGCUAAUACCGCAUACGUCCUGAGGGAGAAAGUGGGGGAUCUUCGGACCUCACGCUAUCAGAUGAGCCUAGGUCGGAUUAGCUAGUUGGUGGGGUAAAGGCCUACCAAGGCGACGAUCCGUAACUGGUCUGAGAGGAUGAUCAGUCACACUGGAACUGAGACACGGUCCAGACUCCUACGGGAGGCAGCAGUGGGGAAUAUUGGACAAUGGGCGAAAGCCUGAUCCAGCCAUGCCGCGUGUGUGAAGAAGGUCUUCGGAUUGUAAAGCACUUUAAGUUGGGAGGAAGGGCAGUAAGUUAAUACCUUGCUGUUUUGACGUUACCAACAGAAUAAGCACCGGCUAACUUCGUGCCAGCAGCCGCGGUAAUACGAAGGGUGCAAGCGUUAAUCGGAAUUACUGGGCGUAAAGCGCGCGUAGGUGGUUCAGCAAGUUGGAUGUGAAAUCCCCGGGCUCAACCUGGGAACUGCAUCCAAAACUACUGAGCUAGAGUACGGUAGAGGGUGGUGGAAUUUCCUGUGUAGCGGUGAAAUGCGUAGAUAUAGGAAGGAACACCAGUGGCGAAGGCGACCACCUGGACUGAUACUGACACUGAGGUGCGAAAGCGUGGGGAGCAAACAGGAUUAGAU